UUUCCGUAGGUGAACCUGCGGAAGGAUCAUUACCAAACAUGUCGUCGUCCCGCAUCGCCGCGCCACGUCGCACUGGGCCAGUUCCCGUGUCAUCAUCGGUUGAGCAGUAACCGCUCACUAGUCCCGCCUUUGAUGGCCCCGAAUGAGGCUCGAGAAUUCAGGAGUGGAUGCUUGGCGGUGUAGGCCCGACACGACACGAAAACCCAUCCGCGUACCCUUCCUGUUGCUUCCGCGGUCGCGAUUCGCAUCCGCGGGAGGUCCCUGUAAAAACCAUUCUGCAUCUCCAUGCCCAGAGUCUGAACUUCAAUCUGUUUAAUUAAGAUUAAAAACUUUCAACAACGGAUCUCUUGGUUCUC
rnacentral:misc_RNA from 1 species